GGUAAACCAGGCGCGACGUCUGUUUUGCAGAGCUGCCGCGACUCGGCCUCUUCCUCCCAUCGCAAGGAGGCAAGGCAGCGCCCACCACCGGCUCUAGCUCCUUCCACCUCGCCACCUCCAGACAAGACAAGCAGACCAGGAAGUUGAGCAUCUCUCUCUCUCUCUCUUUUGGUCCCAACUAACCUUUAUUGCUCAAACAGGGAAAUGCAGGCAGAGGAGGAGCCACUCUGGCAGCAGGGUUCCAUAUCUAUGAAGAAAGACCCUGGUGAGACCCCCAUGCACCAGUCUCAGAGGGGCUGCCUGCUGCAUCUUUGCAAGAUUCUCUGCUCUUCUGCCU